GCAGUAGCCACGGUAAUACAGAGGGUGCGAGCGUUAAUCGGAUUUACUGGGCGUAAAGCGUGCGUAGGCGGCUUCUUAAGUCGGAUGUGAAAUCCCUGAGCUUAACUUAGGAAUUGCAUUCGAUACUGGGAAGCUAGAGUAUGGGAGAGGAUGGUAGAAUUCCAGGUGUAGCGGUGAAAUGCGUAGAGAUCUGGAGGAAUACCGAUGGCGAAGGCAGCCAUCUGGCCUAAUACUGACGCUGAGGUACGAAAGCAUGGGGAGCAAACAGGAUUAGAUACCCCUGUAGUCCCUGUCUCUUAUAC
rnacentral:rRNA from 1 species